CUUGCCAACAUGAGACUUCCUGCUGGAUGCUGCAGGCUCCGGCUUUAGGGGUCGCCUGCUGUGAGGACAGGAGAAGAGCAACACAGACCAGCACUGGGGGCCCGGCCUGGGGCUGGUGGCCGGUGGCCUGUCAGGGCUGCGCUGUACAGAUCAGGAGCGGGGGUGCCCUCUGUCCAACUCCAUGGGGCUCCCCAGCCCUAUCCCCGCCCCCUCCACCAUUCAUCAUCUCCCAGCUGGGAACAUGAAGCAGAUUUUUUUCCACGGAAAAUCCUUAAGGAAGAGAGUACUUCCAAGCAGCUGGCCCAUCCAUCUCCCUCCCAGCGGAUGUAACAAGUCACAAACAAACCCAAUCUCCAGCUGUGGCUGAGAGGAGCCCAAUCAAUAAUGGCCCUAACAUGGUUACGGCAGACUGGCUUGGGAAAGAAGCAGGCUGAUUAUCUCGGGCCUUUUGUCACCAUGACGGGAUGCUGCCUACACAGGAAGUGAGACCGGAUCGGGACUGCAUUAGCGAGAGACUCGUCAGGACUGAGGAGGCCCUCACAGAAGGGUGAGAAAGCUGAACUGAGGGAAACCAACCACCGCCUGCUGAUUAAU
ensembl:lncRNA